CGUUGUCCGGAUUAUUGGGCGUAAAGGGCUUGUAGGCGGUUGGUCGCGUCUGCCGUGAAAUUCUCUGGCUUAACUGGGGGCGUGCGGUGGGUACGGGCUGACUUGAGUGCGGUAGGGGAGACUGGAACUCCUGGUGUAGCGGUGGAAUGCGCAGAUAUCAGGAAGAACACCGGUGGCGAAGGCGGGUCUCUGGGCCGUUACUGACGCUGAGGAGCGAAAGCGUGGGGAGCGAACAGGAUUAGAUACCCUGGUAGUCCACGCUGUAAACGUUGGGCACUAGGUGUGGGGGCCACCCGUGGUUUCUGCGCCGUAGCUAACGCUUUAAGUGCCCCGCCUGGGGAGUACGGCCGCAAGGCUAAAACUCAAAGGAAUUGACGGGGGCCCGCACAAGCGGCGGAGCAUGCGGAUUAAUUCGAUGCAACGCGAAGAACCUUACCAAGGCUUGACAUGCAUUAGAUCGCGUCAGAGAUGGCGUUUCCCUUCGGGGCUGGUGUACAGGUGGUGCAUGGUUGUCGUCAGCUCGUGUCGUGAG
rnacentral:rRNA from 1 species